AUACUUACCUGGCAGGGGAGACACCUUGAUCAUGAAGGAGGUUUUCCCAGGGUGAGGCUCAUCCAUUGCACUGCGGGUGUGCUGACCCCUGCGAUUUCCCCAAAUGCGGGAAACUCGACUGCAUAAUUUGUGGUAGUGGGGACUGCGUUCGCGCUUUCCCCU
rnacentral:snRNA from 1 species